rnacentral:rRNA from 1 species
AUGCUGGAGAAUUCAUUUCUAAUAGAUACUCGAAUGAAAAAAUUCGAUACCAUAGUCCCCGCUACUCUCCUCAUAGGAUACUUAUCAAAAGCUCAAUUUUGUACUGGCCAUUGGUAG